GAAAUGCGAUAAGUAAUGUGAAUUGCAGAAUUCAGUGAAUCAUCGAAUCUUUGAACGCACAUUGCGCCCGCCAGUAUUCUGGCGGGCAUGCCUGUCCGAGCGUCAUUUCAACCAUCAAGCCCCCGGGCUUGUGUUGGGGACCUGCGGCUGCCCACAGGCCCUGAAAACCAGUGGCGGGCUCGCUGUCACACCGAGCGUAGUAGCAAUCACCUCGCUCAGGGCGUGCUGCGGGUUCCGGCCGUUAAACAGCCUUACAAAACCCAAGGUUGACCUCGGAUCAGGUAGGAAGACCCGCUGAACUUAAGC
rnacentral:misc_RNA from 1 species